AUAAGAGACGGCUGUGACCCAGACUUCCCUUCCUCCCUGGUCACACAGAGACUCGGUGUGUCGGAUAUCGCCAUGUCCGUGUUGUUCCUAUGGCAUCGUAAUCAACGUGGCUCCAGGACCAUCAUUACAGCGGACCAAUCACGUUGUUGUGCUGCCGUGCCUUUGCGAUUUGGGGUUAGCCAUCAGCUAAGUUAAGGUUAGCUAUCGGUUAAGUUAAGGUUAGCUAUCGGUUAAGGUUAGCUAUCCGUUGAAUUAAGGUUAGCUAUCGGUUAAGGUUAGCUAUCGGUUAAGUUAAGGUUAACUAAUGGUUACGGUUAGGGUAAGGCAAGUGUUAGGUUAAGGUUAGCUAUCGGUUAAGUUAAGGUUGGCUAUCAGUUAAGGUUAGCUAUCGGUUAAGUUAAGGUUAGCUAAUGGUUACGGUUAGGGUAAGGCAAGUGUUAGGUUAAGGUUAUGUUAGGUUAGCUUUGGUAUUUUCCCCGAUCUUUUUC